rnacentral:rRNA from 1 species
UGGGGAAUAUUGCAUAAUGGAGGGAACUCUGAUGCAGCGACGCCGCGUGAACGAAGAAGGCUUUCGAGUCGUAAAGUUCUUUUAUAUGGGAAGAUAAUGACGGUACCAUAAGAAAAAGCCCCGGCUAACUACGUGCCAGCAGCCGCGGUAAUACGUAGGUGGCUAGCGUUGUCCGGAAUCACUGGGCGUAAAGGGUUCGCAGGCGGAAAUGCAAGUCAGGUGUAAAAGGCAGUAGCUUAACUACUGUAAGCAUUUGAAACUGCAUAUCUUGAGAAGAGUAGAGGUAAGUGGAAUUUUUAGUGUAGCGGUGAAAUGCGUAGAUAUUAAAAAGAAUACCGGUGGCGAAGGCGACUUACUGGGCUCAUUCUGACGCUGAGGAACGAAAGCGUGGGUAGCAAACAGG